AAAAAAAAAAAGAUGUCUUCAUCCCCAUGUGACAGGCUACUUAGUAAACCUAUAAAUGUUCUGCUCUUGUUUUAAAACGCUGCAAAAUUUGGCAUCAUACAGUACAAACAACAACCAGAGCACAGAUAUCUAUGUAUAUUUGGUGGGUGGGUAAUUAGGUGCCUAAAAGAAGGAAUGGGAAGGAAUAUGUGUUAUCAAGUAAAUUAAAAUUCUUGCUUUGAGGUUGUUAGGUCUUAUAAAUAAAAGUAUUUAGAAGCAGAUGUGAAAUACGCUGAGGACCAGGAUCUAGGGUUUGAAGGAAAAUGAGGAAGACAGGACAUGCCUAGAGGAAGGAGAGGAGCAAGAGGAAGAGAAAAUGCCAUACCGUGUUACUUGGACUAAUAUGCUCAUCAAUGGAUGUCAACAAGUGACAAUGUGGUAUACAAAUAACGUUUUUGGAGGAGUGAGGAGAUAGCUUCAUAGAAGAAGGUCAAAAGCCCAAUGUCAGGACAAGCAUGCCCAGGUUCUGCUCAUACGUGAAAGAAAAAGACAUGAAAGGAAGGAAAAGAAAAUGAAGUUUCUCUGAAUAACUCAGAACAGCAGACAAGCUCUGUAGGCCUGUGAUAGAGGUUCUACAAGUGUCUGAGCCCAGGGAGGGAUUUGUGCGACAGACAAGUUCAUUGUCACAUAAUUGAAAAUUAGUCCUUCCUUCUCUUUUACAUGUCUUCAGGUGACUCACAUUUGGAUGGGUGGCUGUAGACUCCUGGAUGAGUGAUUGUCAGGCCCACAUGGAUUAACUUGUAAGGGGAGGGGCCAAUAGUGGCUAUCUUGGAAUGACUAGUUUUGGGUAGCUUAUAAAGACUGUCAGGUUUUCAGUCAGGGUCAGAAAUAGAAUUUGGAUUCUAUUCUUUGGAGGGAAUAAUGCUGCUUUAAUAAACUUCAACAGAGCCCAGAUAGCUGGCCCAUUUCAUAUUAAUUUAAAUCCCAAGCAGUACAGCAAAACCAAUGUUUCUCUUUCUAGUGCUGCUUGGAAAAUGGGAGUAAGAGCCCAGAAUUGAUCAUCAGUGAGAGUUUAUGCUCAAUGCUCUCCAGAUUUUCAAUCUCUGUAGAAGAAGGAAGAAGGGGAGGAAGAAAUAAGAAAAGGCUGAAAAGGCAUAUAAAACCAAUUCCCAUUUGGAGCUCAGUUGGUAAAAUGCCUGAUGCCCAAUCAUGACAACAUGCAUUUGAGUCCCCAGGACACAUGUAAAAGCUGAGCACAGGGGCUAUGUGCCUGGUGUGCCCAUGCUGCGGAGGCAGAUUCAGGUAAAUCCUGGGAUUGGUUAUUCUCCAGGUUCUGCUAAAAAUUGUAGAGAGUGAUUAAAGAUACCAGACAUUGAAUUUAGGCUUCCAUCUACAUUACACAAAAGUGCAUAAACCCAUAUGAACAGUUUACACACACACACACACACACACACACACACACACACACACACACACACACACACACAGAGAGAGAGAGAGAGAGAGAGAGAGAGAGAGAGAGAGAGAGAACUGCAAGUCAUUUGAGUAGGUUUUGUUAUGUAGUUAUAAUAUGAUUAGUAGAUCAAGAAAGGACUGGCAUUAAAGAGGCAGUUUGUUUAUUCAAAUAGGUCAAUCAUUUAUUCUGUUAACUGUACUGUAUUUAACCACCUGGGUAUUAUGGUAGUACAGGCUUAUAAGGUCAGCCAUGACAAAAUUGAAGCAAGGGGAUUGUAUGAGUUCAAGACCAGCCCUUUGUUGUAAAAUGAAACUCUGCCUCAAAAGACAAAAAUAAUAAUAAUAAAAAAAUAACCAGAAACAAAAAUCCUUCACACAAAAUGCUUCAUUCUGUCCUCAAGAAAUAGUGUACUGCCUAUUCCUGGAGGGAGGGAAGUUUACACAAUGCAUCAUGGAAAGGGGAGGAGAGACAACUGUGGGAAGACCCUUUAUCAUGGGUUCCUUUACAGGAAAGUAAGGGCAAAGCAAGUAAAGAGGCUUACCAUUGGCUAGCUGAAAUUACACCACAGGUGUGGAGCACAAGUAAUACCUCCAGGUUCUCUGCUACCUAGCUGUGAAGUAAGAGUGUGCAUGUGUGCCUGUGUGUGUGUGUGUGUGUGUGUGUGUGUGUGUGUGUGUGUGUGUGAGAGAGAGAGAGAGAGAGAGAGAGAGAGAGAGAGAGAGAGGUGGCCCAGAGAGUAAGACAGGUGAGGAAAAUUUGAAACCUUGGGGGCUUAAUUGCCUAUUCAAGAAAGGACGUCUCCACACUGGGUCAGACAGAGCCAUAUAAGACAGCAUUAUUAAAUAACAGGCCAAGCUACAGUGGAGCCAUCCCUUAGCUCCAUCCUCCAUUACACAGUGAGGAGGAGGAGGAGUCGCAAUUUUAGCCACUGAUUUUUUGUUUUGUUUUGUUUUUUAGAUGACUGAACAAACACAAAACCCAGACUAAAAAUAGAGAAAUUCACAGCAAAUGUUUUUGUAACACUUUGCAUGUUAAAAGAACAAAAAAAAUUUUUUUCUUACAAUGUUACCAAUUAAAGCUUCAUUAUUUUAAACAGGUAUGAGUCAGGAUUUAUCUGAAAGAAAAAUAGAAAAAAAAAAUACUCUCCGCCAGUUUCAUUAAGGUUCAGUUUAGUGCUGAUCACAGCUUGGAGGCUGUCUGUGCUAUUCUAUUUACCAACAUUAUUUUCCUUGAAAAAAAUAAUUAUUUUAAUCUGCUACUGCUGAUGUCCAUGCUGGUUGCAGGUAAAUGGAAGUGAAUGAAUGUGUGUGCUGAUGUGCAGUUGACACAGCAGAGUCUAUGAUGUCACCAAGCACCAGGAUAACUAGGACUUGGUUUUCCUAAUAAUGCCAUUUUAAUAAUUUAGAAAAUUGGAAAAACAAAACCAUAUAUUUCAGACCUAUAGGAGCAUAUACAACCCUUACUCAGUCAAAAGGGCUAAUGGGGACAUCAUUUCUUAAAUACAUCAAAACUCACUUAUAUUAAUAUCUAGUGUUGUCCCAAUUAAAAUGCGAUAAUAAUCUAUCAGUGAUAGUAUUUUUUUAUGAAAUUCUUUCUGGUAUUCAAUCUUUUUUUAAUGUAUUAAUAUUUUACUGAAAAUUAAACUCUGGUUUCAAAAUUAAGGCAGUAUUAUUUCUGAAAGUAUUAUGGCAGGAAUCAUUCAUUUUAAUAGGGAUUACUUUAUCUUAUGGUAUAAGUGUUUCACCAACACAAAUUAAUUAAUUUUCAUCUUAUUAGAAGAAAAUAGGUACAAAUGAAAUGAAAAGUUUUUUUUUCUAAGCCAGAUGGAAAGUCUUUGUCAAAUUAGGCCUAUGAUUUGGCAUCAAUAUUUUAUUUUUAAUCAUGUGUGUGUCUGUGUGUGACUAUGUAUGUGGUUUGCAAAUGACCAAAGAGACCAGAAGAGGGCGAUAUUUUUUCUUGGACAUAGAGUUACAGGAAGUUGUUAGCCACCAAAUAUAUAUUCUGGGAGAAGUCAGAUACUGUUCAAGAGCAAUUUGUACUCUGAGAAACAAAGCCUACUCUCUGGGUCUGCUUCAGCCUUUUUCUGAUGAUUAAGCAAGGAGGUGGAGGAGAAAAAUAGAAGGAAAGGAAAGGAAAGGAAAGGAAAGGAAAGGAAAGGAAAGGAAAGGAAAGGACAGGAAAGGAAAGGAAGGAAGAAAACCCACAUAUGUCAGCACUGUCAAAUAAUGUAAAAUCAUUAACAACAAGUUUUAAAGGACAUAAAAUUGGAAAGGAAUCAUCAUGUAAGACACGAGAGGGAGUUGGAGGGAGGUAGCAAUGCAUAAAUUUGACCAAUGUAUGUUUUAUAAAUGUAUAUUUCAAAAUAUUAUUUUUAAAAUAGUAAAAACAGAAGAGGAAAAAUGGGGGGGGGGGACCACAAAUUUCACCACCAAAUGUGAAAACAAAUAAAAAACAGACGAAGAAAGGGAGGAUAGCAAGAAAGAGCACAAAGAAAAAAAUUAUUUCCUUCUUAAAGUAAUUCUGAUCUAUUCCUGAUAAUGUCAAACUGCAGACUCUAUAGUAUAAGUACGGUCAUUUUCAAGUUAUCUUAAUAAUAAAAGACUAUAUUUCAUGAAGGUGUUGGUGAGAAAAUACUGAAAAGAAUCAGAUGUGCAAACUAUGUGUUACAGCUUGGUAUUGUCUGCAUAACAAUGCGAGGGAAAGACUUUUUUCAAAUACACUUACACUGAAGGUAUCUUUAUAUACCUGAGACUAACAAAAAAUUAUUACAAAUUUGAAUAAUGCAUACAUUCUUUUGUCACAGGAUAGCAUUCUUUAAAUAAAUAAUAAAUAUCUUACAGUGCUAGCCUUCAAAAAACCCAGAUGAUUUCAAACCAUGGUUAAGUGAAACGAAUGCACUGUCUUUGUUGAAAUGGCAGAAAGAGAGGCAGAACUUUAUAUAUGCUAAGUAGAUACCUAGUUUUUCUAAGUCACAACCAUAUAUCAGAGUAAGGUGAAAGAAAGUAAAAAAAAAAAAAAAAAAAAAAAAGAAAUGUCUGUGUGCUGUGUGGGGAAAGCCUACGGUUGCUUUUUGCAAGUUGGCAAAUAUUUCCCACAGGCCAAACCCAGCCCAUCUCUUGGUUUUGUGAAUAAAGCUUUAUUGUAACAAUGUAGCAUACAUUUAUUUACACAUUGUCUAUUCCCAUACUGCUUUGGAAUUUCAGCAGGAGGCUUGUAUAGUUAUAUCAAAGGCCAUAUGGCUCACAAAGCUAUUUAUUAUCUGGUCUAUUGCAAAGACAUUUCUUAACCUGCUCUUGUACUUCAGAAAGUUAACAUGUUGAAUCCCUUACAGGAAUGGGAUUAGAUUAAUUUAGACAAGAAAGGCUGCUAAGUAUGGAUAGUAAACACACUUAAAUUUAUUUCUGUAUAGGAAAUAGCAAUUUCAGAAACAGGUAUGAGCCAGAUUCAUAAAUAUCACUUAUUCUCUCCCUUUGCCAUGUUCAUUAAGUUGUAAUGUGUGCAGCUUUCUAGUCUAAAAUAUGUUGUGUUUAUGAUACACACUAUGAAUAUUUAAAGUAUGCCCCACAGCAAUCUCAAGAAAACCUUCACAUCCCUGCUGAAGCUACCGAGGUACAAAUAAAACUCAUCCCAGUCAGGGAUUCUUGUUCUUAAGAAUCCAGCAGACUCCAAGGGGCUUAUGUGCUAUGACAUACAUGUCUUAACUUGUUUCCAAGAAGUACAUUUCAUUUCACAAGUCAAUGGAGAUCAGAAUGUAAUGUCUUCAAAAUGGACAGCAGGAAAUAUAUUUCUGUUAUCUAUCAUUUAGAUUUAAAUGGUAUUCACAUAAAAUAGUGUCUUCUGAUAUUUGUGCCUUUCUGGGAUUCUCUCUUACCAAGUCACAUAUGGCGAUGGAAGUGGUUGGGGCUGGCACUACUCAUCUACGUCCAUUCAGAAAUAGAAUAAACAUGUUUUUGUCUUCGUCCUAAGUUUUCAUAUUCAUAGGAGUCUUCAUAAUAUUACUAUGAAGUAAAACUGUUUUUAUCUUUAUUGCCUAGACACAGAUUAUUAAUUUGUAAAAUGUUGCACAUCUAACAAGUAAUAGAGAGGAAAAUAGGUCUCUAUCAUGACUUAAAGGUCAACUAAUUCCUCUAAGCCUCAGAAGAACUAAAAAUAUAUUUAUAUAUAAUCUUAAUUAAUGAGCUAUAGAUGGUUAUAAAUAUUAGUUUUUCUAUGUUGUUUGACUAUUAAAUUUAGCACUUAGGUCAGUCAGUCCCAGUAAUAUUAAUGCUGCAAUUAUUCAAAGUUCUUCACCCUCUCUUGGGCCUUUAUCAUUUAGCAAUGUGCAACACUAUUUUUCAUCACCUUUCUUUAACAAUAACAUGUAAAUUUAAAAUACUUUCUUUUAUGUCCUAAAUGAUACAAUAUUGUGUCAAUAUGAAAAGUAUAUUUAUUAUGUUGUUACAAUGUUAUAGAAAUUUAGCUCUCAGCAAUAAAACAUUGAGUGAUUAAGAUCAAGCUUUCCAAUAAAGCCAGCCAAACUAUUUUGAAACAUUAAAAUAAAUUCCCAUUUACACCAGUAGAAAACAAGAGACAGUGCUAGGCCAAGAUCCACAAGUUGGUGGCAGUACAGAAAAGAAUUGAACUCUCAACAUGGUUUGCUCUGUUGUCUUUUCUGGCUACUAUCAAGAUUGCCUAGAAGCUGAAAAAUCAGCAGCAACAUCAAAGAGCUAUGAGGGCUAGACACAACCAUUGAAACCCACAGAGGAAGAAAUGGAGAGACUGUUGCAUUUAAGUCAGUUGGUCUGAGACUAAAGGUCCUGGAUGCAUAGAAUACUGAAAUCUAAAUAAAUUCUCAAAAGGAUAUCCAACCAGUUCAAACCCACACACACUUAACACAGGACAGAUUGACCAUAGAUUAAUUGUGAUUCUGGUUGUUAAUAAAGACUCUCUUUUUUCUUCAAAUAAAACAACAACAACAACAUUACCUUUGUCAAGUAUUUUCUAUAAUUUUAAGAUCCCAUGACCAAUGUAGAUUAAGAAACUAAAAAGCAGGCCUGAAGAGAUUGCUCAGCAGUUAAGAACACUGGCUGCUCCUCCAGAAGUCCUUAGUUCAACUCACAGCAACCACAUAGUGGUUUACAACUAUGUAUUUAAAUUUCUGAUACCAUCAUCUUCUGCCA
rnacentral:lncRNA from 1 species